ACACGACUCUCGGCAACGGAUAUCUCGGCUCUCGCAUCGAUGAAGAACGUAGCGAAAUGCGAUACCUGGUGUGAAUUGCAGAAUCCCGCGAACCAUCGAGUCUUUGAGCGCAAGUUGCGCCCGAGCCAUUCGGCCGAGGGCACGCCUGCCUGGGCGUCAUGC
rnacentral:rRNA from 1 species